GGAAAAGCACAGCUGUAAUUGAUAACCUUCAUAAUGGCUCAAAUUCAUCAAGUUUCCCAGUGAGCUAUUUCAGUGAGUCAGUAUACACAAUACCAGGGCCUCUCUUAAGUGGAACGCAGCCAUCAUUACUGGGUUAAUACAGGACCU